rnacentral:rRNA from 1 species
AUGAAAAUCAUAAGCCGGAACUGCCGGGGGCUCGGGAACGGCCCGGCAGUUCGCAGCCUCCUCGAGUUGGGGAGGAGAGAGGAGCCCGACAUACUUUUUCUUGCGGAGACGAAAUUGACAGUGAAGGAGUUAGAUAGAUUUCGAUGGAUGCUUGGGCUUACGCAAAUGACUGCGUGGAAUCCUGAAGGUAGAAGCCGGGGAGUGGCUCUGUUCUGGAGG